UCUUUUGUUAUUCUUCCUGCUUGUCCCAAUAAUGAGUAACCAUGAGAGCUUGGAUGACGCAAAGGAUUUUGAGAAGCUGUUAACUUGAUCGAGAUUAUUGGAUUCCUUACACAUGUGAGCCUCUCUCUGGCCAUGUUUAUGUGGCAUUAAGCCACAAUGAGCUGCACACAAGCCUUCUCAAGCUGCUUGUAAUACAGGUGCAGGCAC
rnacentral:lncRNA from 1 species